rnacentral:rRNA from 1 species
AGAGUUUGAUUAUGGCUCAGGAUGAACGCUGGCGGCGUGCCUAACACAUGCAAGUCGAGCGAAGCACUUGCGAAUGAUCCUUCGGGUGAUUUUGCUGGUGACUGAGCGGCGGACGGGUGAGUAACGCGUGGGUAACCUGCCUCAUACAGGGGGAUAACAGUUAGAAAUGACUGCUAAUACCGCAUAAGCGCACAGUGCCACAUGGUACGGUGUGAAAAACUCCGGUGGUAUGAGAUGGACCCGCGUCUGAUUAGCUAGUUGGCGGGGUAACGGCCCACCAAGGCGACGAUCAGUAGCCGACCUGAGAGGGUGAUCGGCCACAUUGGGACUGAGACACGGCCCAA